AGCAGCCAUUGCGGUAAUUCCAGCUCCAAUAGCGUAUAUUAAGGUUGCUGCGGUUAAAAAGCUCGUAGUUGAAUUUCGGAAUUGAUGCAUCGGUCGUGCCUUAAGGGGCAUGAACUGGUGUAGCCAAUUUCUCACCUUCUGGUGCAUUGUUGAUGUUCUUAAUGGGUGUCUCAAUGAACUAGAAUUUUUUACUUUGAAAAAAUUAGAGUGUUUAAAGCAGGCAUUAAUUUGCUUGAAUACAUUAGCAUGGAAUAAUGAAAUAGGACAGUGGUUCCGUUUUGUUGGUUUCUAGGAUCACGUAAUGAUUAAUAGGGACAGUUGGGGGCAUUAGUAUUCAAUUGUCAGAGGUGAAAUUCUUGGAUUUAUUGAAGACUAACUAUUGCGAAAGCAUUUGCCAAGGAUGUUUUCAUUAAUCAAGAACGAAAGUUAGGGGAUCAAAGACGAUUAAGUACGUCGUAGUCCUAACCAUAAACUAUACCGACUAGGAAUCAGACGAUGUUAAUGUUUUAAUGACUCGUUUGGUACCUUACG
rnacentral:rRNA from 1 species